rnacentral:rRNA from 1 species
UGAGCAAUCUGCCCUUCUCAUCGGAAUAAGCGUUGGAAACGACGUCUAAUGCCGAAUACGACCUCCUUUCGCAUGAUCGGAGGUGGAAAGCUCCGGCGGAGAAGGAUGAGCUCGCGGCCUAUCAGCUAGUUGGUGUGGUAAUGGCCCACCAAGGCGACGACGGGUAGCCGGCCUGGAGAGGGUGACCCGGCCACACGUGGGACUGAGACACCGGCCCAGACCUCCGUACGGGAGCA